UUAUGUAAUAUUGUCCUAACACCACUUUUGUCCCCAACUCGUCUCCGCAUCUAUUCAAUAGACAAAAUUAACCAUAAUAUCUUAUUUUUGUGAAUGAACGAUAAAACAUCUCCCGUACCACUUGCCGCGCAUUCCAUUGACAAGAGGGAGUGCAGAUGGGGAUAAAAGUGGUGUUGGGAGAAAAUUACAUAAUUAAAUGCAAAUAACAGGUGAAGCAUUAUUCUACUUCAUCUACCGAUACUCUUCCUUCAGGUAUCCAGAACUCACAGCCUCAUUUUGGUCGCCUUCGGUAAGGGUACAAAAUAUCAUCCAGGUUCUCUUUAAUGUAAUUCCCCAUUCUCCGCAUGUUCUUGGCCACCCCGGAUGCAACCAGGUUCGCAUUCCUUGUAUACCUGCUAAGGAAGUCAUCUCCUGCAGCAUGGACUGGUUUAGGCGUUUGAGGCUGAUGAAUUUCAAGGCCAUCUUCUCUACCAUGAACAUGAGCCGGAGCAGAUGCAUUAUCAGAAGUAACAACUCUUCUAUCCACUAGAAGCUCAAGGCCCACACAGACUGGCAGUUGUGUUUUUGCCGCUUGCUUUUGCUUAUCAGUAGAAUGAUCUUUGCUGACAUACACUGAAUACCCAAUGCAACCAUAAUAAAAAUCUGUAAGAGUCCGGCCUUCUUUAGAAGCUUUAUCCUCAGAUUGUCCAACAAUAUAAUUGGGAACUUGUUGGAGGGUACGAGGGAUGCCGAUGCAGCGAGGAUUGUUGCCGUUGGAUUUGAGAUAGGAAGAAUAAUAGAGAUAUCCUUUGCAUGAUUUACCUUUGGAACCUCCUUCUCCUCCAGCUUCUAUUUGAUUUUGGUUUUUUUUCCGCUUUCUCGUCUCUUCCUCCUACUUGUUUAUUCCCAUCCAUGCCAGCCUUCUAAACCUCCCUCUCUCUCUCCCCUUGUAUAGCGCAAGAGGGCGCAAUGGUC
rnacentral:misc_RNA from 1 species